rnacentral:rRNA from 1 species
UGGAGGACCGAACCACGUUGGUGUUGAAAAACCAUGGGAUGAGCUGUGGAUAGCGGAGAAAUUCCAAUCGAACUCGGAGAUAGCUGGUUCUCCUCGAAAUAGCUUUAGGGCUAGCGUCGUGUAAUUGAGUAAUGGAGGUAGAGCACUGAAUGGGCUAGGGGCUAUAGUAGUUACCGAACCCUAUCAAACUCCGAAUGCCAUAUACUUGUAUCACGGCAGUCAGACUGCGAAUGAUAAGAUCCGUAGUCAAAAGGGAAACAGCCCAGACCAUCAGCUAAGGUCCCAAAGUGUAAGUUAAGUGGAAAAGGAUGUGGGAUUUCUAAGACAACUAGGAUGUUGGCUUAGAAGCAGCCACUCAUUUAAAGAGUGCGUAAUAGCUCACUAGUCAAGAGAUCCUGCGCCGAAGAUGUCCGGGGCUCAAACUUACCACCGAAGCUAUGGGUGUACACUAUGUGUACGCGGUA